AUGGUUAAGCUACUAAGGGCGUACGGUGGAUGCCUAGGCGUCAAGGGCCGAAGAAGGGCGUGGCAGGCUGCGAUAAGCCUCGGGGAGCCGUCAAGCAGGCUUUGAUCCGGGGAUGCCCGAAUGGGGAAACCUACCCAGGGGAAUGCCUGGGUACCCCCAGCUGAAUACAUAGGCUGGUGGGAGGCAACCGAGGGAACUGAAACAUCUUAGUACCUCGAGGAAAAGAGAUCAUUCCCUGAGUAGUGGCGAGCGAAAGGGGAACAGCCCAAACCUAUCUUGUGUCAAGGCUGUGGCCGUUGCAAGGUAGGGGUUGUAAGGCACGGGCGGGUCACCACAGAGGCCCACAGGAGUUACAAAUCUGGUCUCUAGUGGAAGGAUACUGGAAAGGUCCACCAUAGAGAGUGAUAGUCUCGUACGCGAAAGGGAUCAGACUCCUGCCGUUGGCCUUGAGUACCACGGGGCACGCUAAUCUUGUGGGAAUCAGGGAAGUCCACUUCCCAAGGCUAAAUACCCUUGACGACCGAUAGUGAACAAGUACCGUGAGGGAAAGGUGAAAAGAACGCCGGUGAGGCGAGUGAAAUAGAACCUGAAACCGUAUGCCUACAAGCGGUGGGAGGGCUAUACCCCUUAUAGGGGGAGGCCUGACCGCGUGCCUUUUGGAGAAUGAACCGGCGAGUUACUCUCUGUGGCGAGGUUAAGGGAGUCAUACCUGGAGCCGUAGCGAAAGCGAGUCUGAAUAGGGCGCAAUAGUCGCAGGGAGUAGACCCGAAACCAGGUGAGCUACCCAUGGCCAGGGUGAAGCGAUAGUAAUGCAUCGUGGAGGCCCGAACCUACCAGAGUUGCAAAUCUGGGGGAUGAGCUGUGGGUAGAGGUGAUAUGCCAAACGAACCUGGAGAUAGCUGGUUCUCCCCGAAAUAGCUUUAGGGCUAGCCUCAGGUGUUUAGUGAUGGAGGUAGAGCACUGAAUUGGCUAAGGGGCGUAAAGCCUACUAAACCAAACCAAACUCCGAAUGCCAUCACUCAAGAGCCUGGGAGUCGGACAGUGGGGGAUAAGCUUCAUUGUCAAGAGGGAAAGAGCCCAGACCGUCAGCUAAGGUCCCUAAGUCCAGGCUAAGUGGGCAAGGAGGUGGGAUUACUGGGACAGCCAGGAGGUUGGCUUAGAGGCAGCCAUCCUUUAAAGAGUGCGUAAUAGCUCACUGGUCUAGUGAUUCUGCGCCGACAAUGUAACGGGGCUCAAGCCUGGCACCGAAGCUACGGGAGGUCGGAAGCUUGGGGACAUAACGGCCCAAGGAGAUUGGUUGAGCUUUGCUCCCAGCUUCUUGUUGCCGGUUCCCAAGGCGUUUCGACUUCGGUAGGGGAGCGUUCUGCUCAGCUGUGAAGCUAGACCGUGAGGACUAGUGGAGCGAGCAGAAGUGAGAAUGCCGGUAUGAGUAGCGAGAAACAUGUGAGAAACAUGUUCGCCGUAAACCUAAGGUUUCCGACGGAAGGUUAAUCCGCGUCGGGUUAGUCGGGCCUAAGCCGAGGGCGAAAGCCGUAGGCGAUGGACAACAGGUUAAUAUUCCUGUACCACCCGGGUGGAGCGAUGGGGGGACGCGGAGGGGUAGGCCAGCCUGUUAUUGGAUUCAGGUGCCAAGCUCGUAGGAGGCCGGACCAGGUAAAUCCGGACCGGUGUUAACUCUGAGGAGUGGGCGGUGCCGUAAGGCCAGAAGUGGUUGAGCCCAGCCGCCGAGAAAAGCCUCUAAGCGAUGAAACCCUGGUGACCGUACCGCAAACCGACACUGGUAGGUGGGUAGAGAAUACCAAGGCGAUCGGGAGAACCCUCGUUAAGGAACUCGGCAAAAUUGCUCCGUAACUUCGGGAGAAGGAGCGCCCUCUUGGGUGAAGCGACUAGCUCGCGGAGCUCAGGGGGGUCACAGUGAAAUGGCCCUGGCGACUGUUUAUCAAAAACACAGGUCUCUGCCAACUCGAAAGAGGAUGUAUAGGGGCUGACGCCUGCCCAGUGCCGGAAGGUUAAAGGGAAGGGUGAUGCUGGCUUCGGCCAGCGGCAGCUCUGAACUGAAGCCCCGGUGAACGGCGGCCGUAACUAUAACGGUCCUAAGGUAGCGAAAUUCCUUGUCGGGUAAGUUCCGACCCGCACGAAAGGCGUAACGACUGGGGCGCUGUCUCAACGAGGGACCCGGCGAAAUUGAAGUAGGCGUGAAGAUACGCCUUACCCGCAGCAGGACAAAAAGACCCCGUGGAGCUUUACUGUAGCUUGGUACUGGGUUAGGGCUUGGCUUGUGCAGGAUAGGUGGGAGACUGGGAAGCUGGGGCGUUAGCCUCGGUGGAGUCAACCUUGAAAUACCACCCUGGUGAAGUUUUGGCUCUAACCUGCACCCGUGAUCCGGGGCAGGGACAGUGCCAGGUGGGCAGUUUGACUGGGGCGGUCGCCUCCCAAAAGGUAACGGAGGCGCCCAAAGGUUCCCUCAGGCUGAAUGGAAACCAGCUGUAGAGUGUAAAGGCACAAGGGAGCUUGACUGCGAGACCUACAAGUCGAGCAGGGACGAAAGUCGGGCUUAGUGAUCCUACGGUUCCGAGUGGAAGGGCCGUGGCUUAACGGAUAAAAGCUACCCCGGGGAUAACAGGCUAGUCUUGCCCAAGAGUUCACAUCGACGGCAAGGCUCGGCACCUCGAUGUCGGCUCGUCGCAUCCUGGGGCUGUAUAAGGUCCCAAGGGUUGGGCUGUUCGCCCAUUAAAGCGGCACGCGAGCUGGGUUCAGACCGUCGUGAGACAGGUCGGUCUCUAUCCGCUGUGGGCGCAGGUGACUUGAGAGGAGCUGCUCCUAGUACGAGAGGACCGGAGUGGACAGACCGCUGGUGUGCCAGUUGUACCGCCAGGUGCAUCGCUGGGUAGCUAUCGUCUGGAAAGGAUAACCGCUGAAAGCAUCUAAGUGGGAAGCCUCCCUCAAGAUAAGGUCACCCACCGGGCUAACCGGGUAAGACCGCAGGUAGACUACCUGUUUGAUAGGCGGCAGGUGUAAGGGCAGCAAUGCCUUCAGCUAAGCCGUACUAAUGGUCGAGGGCUUAAUCUACA
rnacentral:rRNA from 1 species